AUGGAUUCUUUUCCUCCGCACCAUCGCCUGCUUCCUCCGCCGCGACGCGAGGCCCUUACGGGUGAGAACCCCACGAGUACUUGCAGCAGGUACUUGACCCUACAUUUUGAAGGAGGCCGCCGCCCGCCGAGCACAGAUGGAGCAGAACUCCACCGACACCUGAUCCCGGUCCACGUGCAGGCAGAUCCCGCCGGGGGCCGCCCACUCCUCCUCCGUCCCAGUCACCGCCGCCGGCUCCUCCAGACCACGGGGCCGGGAGCUGGGCAGGGCGUAGUCGUGGUCGCUGCUCUCGCCGGCGGGCUGGAGGUGCUGGUGCUGGCGGCGGGGGCCGCCCGUGUCCCUGAAGAGGCUGGUGCCGAGCUGCAGCCCGCCGGCGCGGGUCCCGGCCAGGCGGCUCAGGAGCUGCCCCAGCGCGCUCUGGUUGGCCAGCACAGCCCGCAGGUAGCUGCUCUCCCGCUCCAGCUCUCGCAGGCGGCGGCUCAGGCCGCGGUUGCGGUCCCGCAGCUGCCGGUUCUCGGCAGCCAGGCCCUGCAGGCGGCUCUCCAGCCCCAGCACAUACUGCUUCUUCUUCAGCCGGUUCAGCCGAGCCGCCGCCGCCGCCUUCAGCCGACUGCCGGCCCCGCCGCUCCUCCGCCCGGGCGCCGCCGGCCGCGGGCCCCGGCCCGGCGCGGGCGGCGGUUCGGGGUCCCCACAGAAGCAGUCGCUCAGCUCCGCGUCCAGGUCCCAGUCCGGCCGGGCGGCCUCCAGCAGGUCUCCCAGCUCCAGCCCCGGGAACCAGUCCUCUUGCUCCCACACCUCCAGCAGGCCGCCGGGCGCCUCGGCCUCCUUCUCCUGCCGCCGCGGCUCCGAGGCGCCCGGCGGCUCCCGCCGCGGCGGCGGCUGCGCUUUGGGCCGCGCGGGGCCCGGGUCCCCUUCCCCGCCGCCAUCCCGCCCUCUCGGGGCCUGCCCCGCUGCGGCCAGCGGCCAGACGGCGCCCGAGGGGCUGGCCCCGCCGGCCGAGGCCGCCAGCAGCUGCGUGAGGCUGUGGCGCAUGGCGGGGGAAGCGCCCGGCGGGACGGGACGGAGCUGCGGCCCGGCGCUGCCGCCGCGGGGCCUGCCGGGAACCGGCGCGAGGGCGGGCGGUGGGAGCGCCUCGCGACUGCGCCCGCGCGCGGGAAAGCGGCGUGUGGGAAUGGGGGGGGAGCUCUUACCAAAUGUGGAAUGUGUAAACAUUGCCUUGAGACGGGAUGUUCCGUGGCGUGUGAUCGUAGUAUACUUUCAGAGAGAGAUCCGUGA
rnacentral:lncRNA from 1 species